CUGCGGGACCGGCGCUGCGCGGAGAUCCGGAGCGGGGCUGCUCCCGGCGCGGCGCGGUGUCCGGCGCGCUCAGAACCACGAGGACCAUCAAGUCAAAGGCUAAGAAACGAGUGGCCCAGCUGCACAUGGAACACAGAAAUGUGGCCCUCUCAGCAGCCUGCUCCAAGCACCUGAGGCAAUCCAGGAUCAUGACAAGUGCCUGCUGCCAGUAAGAGAGCUCCUGUACAAAUGCAGCUCCUUCCCUUUGGCUAAGGCUGCUUUACACACCAGUGGCUGCAGGGCAGAACUGCUGGCACCUGACGUGACAGCACCAAGCUCUUCCCAUACCCCCGAUUUUUCUGCCCUUUCCAGGAUUUGCUCAGCUGUAAAUGUGCUCACACCACGUCCCUUUGCAGGGAGAAACAAUCAAGAUGAGUCCCCAGGGUUACCUUGGUCCACGGCUGAAGCUCUUCUGGAGAAUGGCAGGGGGCAUUUCCUGCAGGUGAGUGCUGCCAGGUCAAAUCGAUGGUGGCUGCUGAGGCCAGGGCUGUUUUCCCAGCCCAGAGGCCUUGGUGUCUCCUGCUCGCUGCCAGCAAUGUUCCCCCAGGGCAGGGGGAGGCCAGGAGCCCCCGAAAGGCAGCAGCACCUCUUGUCCUUGGGAUCUGCAGGGCACUGCCUGCACCGUGGCUGCUCUGACCAGGACAUGGAGAUGCUCCAGCCCAGAAGGACCCCAAGGAGCCGCUGGCAUUACCUGGGAAUGGUGGCACAGGCUGAAUGUAGAAGGGCUCAGACAGCAAUUCCCAGUCUGGAGCUCCCACACAGCUGCCAGACAUUAAAUCCCAAGCAACAGCCCUCAGAGAUACCUGAAAAUCCGAGGUUUGGGAUGAGGUCUGGAGUUUUUCAGGGAGCCAGCUGAGGUGCAGAAGUCAUGGAAAGCUGUC